CCCACCCCCACCCCCACCGCCGACAACGAAAAGGCCGACGACAACGACAACAAAGAAGACAAUGGAACACGAUAGUGACUCUUCUGAGGAAUCUGAUUAUACAGAAGAAAGUUAUUCGAUGUCGGAUUAUUAUUAUAUGGAUGAUAUAUAGCCAUUUGGACGAAAAACUAACUUACUUUAAGUUUUGGAUUAUAGACAACAACAAAUUUAUAAAAUUGAGGCGACCCUAACACUGUAUCCAGGAAAAGAUGACAGAAGAUGAAGACUAAUAUUGAUUAUAAUGGCAGCUACAAAAGACAAAUCGUGUGAUUUUCAAACCUUAAAAAUAUCGUGCCACCUAUAAUAAAAAUCGUAUCUAAAAUA